rnacentral:rRNA from 1 species
GACAGAGGGUGCAAACGUUGUUCGGAAUUACUGGGCGUAAAGCGUGUGUAGGCGGCGACGUAAGUCGGAUGUGAAAGCCCCAGGCUCAACCUGGGAAGUGCACUCGAUACUGCGUGGCUUGAGUAUCGGAGAGGUUGGUGGAAUUCUCGGUGUAGAGGUGAAAUUCGUAGAUAUCGAGAGGAACACCGGUGGCGAAGGCGGCCAACUGGACGAAUACUGACGCUGAGACACGAAAGCGUGGGGAGCAAACAGG